AUUGAACGCUGGCGGCGUGCUUAACACAUGCAAGUCGAACGGAGUGGCGAACGGGUGAGUAACACGUGGGUGACCUGCCCUGCACUUCGGGAUACGCCUGGGGAACUGGGUCUAAUACCGGAUAGUGUGGGAUGGGCUCGCGGCCUAUCAGCUUGUUGGUGGGGUAAUGGCCUACCAAGGCGGCGACGGGUAGCCGGCCUGAGAGGGUGGGCGGCCACAAUGGGACUGAGACACGGCCCAGAAUCCUACGGGAGGCAGAAGUGGGGAAUAUUGCCGAAUGGGCGGAAGCCUGAUGCAGAGACGCCGCGUGGGGGAUGACGGGCUGCGGGUUGUAAACUCCUUUCACCAUCGACGCGGUAGAUGGAGAAGAAGCACCGGCUAACUACGUGCCAGCAGCCGCGGUAAUAC
rnacentral:rRNA from 1 species